rnacentral:rRNA from 1 species
UACGUAGGGGGCAAGCGUUAUCCGGAAUUAUUGGGCGUAAAGAGUACGUAGGUGGCAACCUAAGCGCAGGGUUUAAGGCAAUGGCUCAACCAUCGUUCGCCCUGCGAACUGGGAUGCUUGAGUGCAGGAGAGGAAAGCGGAAUUCCUAGUGUAGCGGUGAAAUGCGUAGAUAUUAGGAGGAACACCAGUGGCGAAGGCGGCUUUCUGGACUGUAACUGACACUGAGGUACGAAAGCGUGGGGAGCAAACAGG